UACGGGGGGGGCAAGCGUUGUUCGGAAUUACUGGGCGUAAAGGGUGCGUAGGCGGUGCUCUAAGUCGGAUGUGAAAACUCUGGGCUCAACCCAGAGCCUGCAUCCGAAACUGGAGUGCUAGAGUUCUGGAGGGGGUAGCGGAAUUCCUGGUGUAGCGGUGAAAUGCGUAGAUAUCAGGAGGAACACCUGCGGUGUAGACGGCUUUCUGGACCAUUGCUGACGCUGAGACACGAAAGCGUGGGUAGCAAACAGG
rnacentral:rRNA from 1 species